GGCGAACGCUGGCGGCGUGCUUAACACAUGCAAGUCGAGCGGUAAGGCCCUUUCGGGGGUACACGAGCGGCGAACGGGUGAGUAACACGUGGGUGACCUGCCCUCAGCUCUGGGAUAAGCCUGGGAAACCGGGUCUAAUACUGGAUAUGACUCCAUGACGCAUGUUGUGGGGUGGAAAGCCUUGUGCGGCUGAGGAUGGGCCCGCGGCCUAUCAGCUUGUUGGUGGGGUGAUGGCCUACCAAGGCGACGACGGGUAGCCGGCCUGAGA
rnacentral:rRNA from 1 species